rnacentral:rRNA from 1 species
GUGGGGAAUCUUGCGCAAUGGGCGAAAGCCUGACGCAGCCAUGCCGCGUGAAUGAUGAAGGUCUUAGGAUUGUAAAAUUCUUUCACCGGGGACGAUAAUGACGGUACCCGGAGAAGAAGCUCCGGCUAACUUCGUGCCAGCAGCCGCGGUAAUACGAAGGGGGCUAGCGUUGCUCGGAAUUACUGGGCGUAAAGGGCGCGUAGGCGGACAGCUUAGUCAGAGGUGAAAGCCCAGGGCUCAACCUUGGAAUUGCCUUUGAUACUGGCUGUCUUGAGUUUGGGAGAGGUGAGUGGAACUCCGAGUGUAGAGGUGAAAUUCGUAGAUAUUCGGAAGAACACCAGUGGCGAAGGCGACUCACUGACCCAAUACUGACGCUGAGGCGCGAAAGCGUGGGGAGCAAACAGGAUUAGAAACCCGGGUAGUCC